rnacentral:lncRNA from 1 species
CAAAAGAAGUGAAAACGCCCUGCCCCGCCUUAACUGAUGACAUUCCACCAUUGUGAUUUGUUCCUGCCCCACCUUAGCUGAGUGAUUAACCCUGUGAAUUUCCUUCUCCUGGCUCAGAAGCUCCCCGACUGAGCACCUUGUGACCCCCGCCCCUGCCCACCAGAGAACAACCCCCUUUGACUGUAAUUUUCCAUUACCUUCCCAAAUCCUAUAAAACGGCCCCACCCCUAUCUCCCUUCGCUGACUCUCUUUUCGGACUCAGCCCGCCUGCACCCAGGUGAAAUAGACAGCCAUGUUGCUCACACAAAGCCUGUUUGCUGGUCUCUUCACACUGACUCGAGUGAAAUUUGGUGCCGUGACUAGGAUCGGGGGACCUCCCUUGGGAGAUCAAUCCCCCGUCCUCCUACACUUUGCUCUGUGAGAAAGAUCCACCUACAACCUCAGGUCCUCAGACCAACCAGCCCAAGAAACAUCUCACCAAUUUCAAAUCCGGUAAGCGGCCUCUUUUUACUCUUUUCUCCAGCUUCCCUCACUGUCCCUCAACCUCUUUCUCCUUUCAAUCUUGGUGCCACACUUCAAUCUCUCCCUUCUCUUAAUUUCAAUUCCUUUCAUUUUCUGGUAGAGACAAAGGAGACACGUUUUAUCCGUGGACCCAAAACUCCGGCGCCAGUCACGGACUGGGAAGGCAGCCUUCCCUUGGUGUUAAAUCACUGCAGGGACGCCUCUCUGAUUAUUCACCCAUGUUUCAAAGGUGUCAGACCACGCAGGGACGCCUGCCUUGGUCCUUCACCCUUAGUGGCAAGUCCUGCUUUUCUGGGGAAGGGGCAAGUACCCCAACCCCUUCUCUCUGUGUCUCUACCCCUUCUCUGCUUUUCUGGGGGAGGGGCAAGUACCCCUCAACCCCUUCUCCUUCACCCUUAGUGACAAGUCCUGCUUUUCUAGGAGGCAAGAACCCCCAAUCCCUUAUUUCCACACCCUGACCUCUUAUCUCUGUGCCCCAAUCCCUUAUUUCCACACCCCAACCUCUUAUCUCUGUGCCCCAAUCCCUUAUUUCCGUGCCCCAACCCCCCUUCCCACUUUUCUGGAGGAUAAGAACCCCCGAACCCCUUCCCUCCGUGUCUCUAUGCUCUCUUUUCUCUGGGUUUGCCUCCUUCACUAUGGGCAACCUUCCACCUACCAUUCCUCCUUCUUCUCCUUUAGCCUAUAUUCUUAAGAAUUUAAAACCUCUUCAACUCUCACCUGACCUAAAAUCUAAGCAUCUUAUUUUCUUCUGCAAUGCCACUUGACCCCAAUACAAACUUGACAGUAGUUCCAAAUAGCCAGAAAAUGGCACUUCCAAUUUUUCCAUCCUACAAGAUCUAAAUAAUUCUUUUCGUAAAAUGGGCAAAUGGUCUGAGGUGCCUGACAUCCAGGCAUUCUUUUACACAAUAGUCCCUUCCUAGUCUCUGUGCCCAGUGCAACUUCUCCCAAAUCUUCCUUCUUUCCCUCCUGCCUGUCCCCUCAGUCCCAACCCCAAGCAUCGCUGAGUCUUUCUAAUCUUCCUUUUCUACAGACCCAUCUGACCUCUCCCCUCCUUGCCAGGCCAAGCUACGUCCCAAUUCUUCCUCAGCCUCCGCUCCUCCACCCUGCAAUCUUUUUAUCACCUCCCCUCCUCACACCUGGUCCUGCUUACAGUUUCAUUCUGUGACUAGCCCUCCCCCACCUGCCCAGCAAUUUACUCUUAAAAAAGUGGCUGGAGCCAAAGGCAUAGUCAAGGUUAAUGCUCCUUUUUCUUUAUGCCAAAUCAGAAGUGUUUAGGCUCUUUUUCAUCAAAUAUAAAAACCCAGCCCAGUUCAUGGCUCGUUUGGCAGCAACCCUGAGACGCUUCACAGCCCUAGACCCUAAAAGGUCAAAAGGCCAUCUUAUUCUCAAUAUACAUUUUAUUACCCAAUCUGCUCCUAACAUUAAAUAAAACCCCAAAAAUUGGAAUCUGGUCCUCAAACCCCACAACAGGACUUAAUUAACCUCACCUUCAAGGUGUACAAUAAUAAAAAAAAGUUGCAAUUCCUUGCCUCCACUGUGAGACAAAGCCCAGCCACAUCUCCAGCACACAAGAACUUCCAAACCCCUGAACUGCAGCAGUCAGGCAUUCCUCCAGAACCUCCUCCCCCAGGAGCUUGCUACAAGUGCCAGAAAUCUGACCACCAGGCCAAGGACUGCCGGCAGCCCAGGAUUCCUCCUAAGCCACGUCCCAUCUGUGUGGGACCCCACUGCAAAUCGGACUGUUCAACUCACCUGGCAGCCACUCCCAGAGCCCCUGGAACUCUGGCCCAAGGCUCUCUGACUGACUCCUUCCCAGAUCUUCUCGGCUUAGCGGCUGAAGACUGACACUGCCCGAUUGCCUCGGAAGCCCCCUAGACCAUCAUGGACGCCGAGCUUCAGGUAACUCUCACAGUGGAAGGUAAGCCCGUCCCCUUCUUAAUCAAUAUGGAGGCUACCCACUCCACAUUACCUUCUUUUUAAGGGCCUAUUUCCGUUGCCUCCAUAACUGUUGUGGGUAUUGACGGCCAGGCUUCUAAACCUCUUAAAACUCCCCAACUCUGGUGCCAACUUAGACAAUACUCUUUUAAGCACUCCUUUUUAGUUAUCCCCACCUGCCCAGUUCCCUUAUUAGGCUGAGACACUUUAACUAAAUUAUCUGCUUCCCUGACUAUUCCUGGACUACAGCUAUAUCUCAUUGCCGCCCUUCUUCCCAAUCCAAAGCCUCCUUUGCAUCCUCCUCUUGUAUCUCCCCAACUUAACCCACAAGUAUAAGAUACCUCUACUCCCUCCUUGGUGACCGAUCAUGCACCCCUUACCAUCUCAUUAAAACCUAAUCACCCUUACCCCACUCAACGCCAAUAUCCCAUCCCACAGCACGCUUUAAAAAGAUUAAAGCCUGUUAUCACUGGCCUGCUACAGCACAGCCUUUUAAAGCCUAUAAACUCUCCUUACAAUUCACCCAUUUUACCUGUCCUAAAACCAGACAAGCCUUACAACUUAGUUCAGGAUCUAUGCCUUAUCAACCAAAUUGUUUUGCCUAUCCACCCCGUGGUGCCAAAACCAUAUACUCUCCUAUCCUCAAUCCCUGCCUCUACAACCCAUUAUUCUGUUCUAGAUCUCAAACAUGCUUUCUUUACUAUUCCUUUGCACCCUUAAUCCCAGCCUCUCUUCGCUUUCACUUGGACUGACCCUGACACCCAUCAAGCUCAGCAAAUUACCUAGGCUGUACUGCCGCAAACCUUCACAGACAGCCCCCAUUAUUUCAAUCAAGCCCAAAUUUCUUCCUCAUCUGUUACCUAUCUUGGCAUAAUUCUCAUAAAAACACACAUGCUCUCCCUGCCAUUCUUGUCAGACUGAUCUCUCAAACCCCAGCACCUUCUACAAAACAACAACUCCCUUCCUUCCUAGGCAUAGUUGGUGCAGUCAGAAUUCUUACACAAGAGCCAGGACCGCACCCUGUAGCCUUUCUGUCCAAACAACUUGACCUUACUGUUUUAGCCUAGCCCUCAUGUCUGCGUGCAGCGGCUGCCGCUGCUUUAAUACCGUUAGAGGCCCUAAAAAUCACAAACUAUGCUCAACUCACUCUCUACAUUUCUCAUAACUCCCAAAAUCUAUUUUCUUCCUCAUACCUGAUGCAUAUACUUUCUGCUCCCUGGCUCCUUCAGCUGUACUCACUCUUUAAGUCCUACAAUUACCAUUGUUCCUGGCCCGGACUUCAAUAAGGCCUCUCACAUUAUUCCUGAUACCACACCUGACCCCCAUGACUGUAUCUCUCUGAUCCACCUGAUAUUCACCAUUUCCCCAUAUUUCCUUCUUUCCUGUUCCCCACCCUGAUCACGCUUGAUUUAUUGAUGGCAGUUCCACCAGGCCUAAUCGCCACACACAAGCAAAGGCAGGCUAUGCUGUAGUACAAGCCACUAGCCCGCCUCUCAGAACCUCUCAUUUCCUUUCCAUCCUGGAAAUCUAUCCUCAAGGAAAUAACUUCUCAGUGUUCCAUCUGCUAUUCUACUACUCCUCAGGGAUUAUUCAGGCCCCCUCCCUUCCCUACACAUCAAGCUUGAGGAUUUGCCCCCACCCAGGACUGGCAAAUUAGCUUUACUCAACAUUCCGGAGCCAGGAAACUAAAAUACCUCUUAGGCUGAAUAGACACUUUCACUGAAUAAGUAAAGGCCUUUCCUACAGGGUCUGAGAAGGCCACCGCAGUCAUUUCUUCCCUUCUGUCAGACAUAAUUCCUCAGUUUAGCCUUCCCACCUCUAUACAGUCUGAUAACAGACCAGCCUUUAUUAGUCAAAUCAGCCAAGCAGUUUUUCAGGCCCUUAGUAUUCAGUGAAACCUUUACAUCCUUUACGGUCCUCCGUCUUCAAGAAAAGUAGAAUGGACUAAAGGUCUUUUAAAAACACACCUCACCAAGCUCAGCCACCAACUUAAAAAGGACUGGACAAUACUUUUACCACUUUCGCUUCUCAGAAUUCAGGCCUGUCCUCAGAAUGUUACAGGAUACAGCCCAUUUAAGCUCCUGUAUAGAUGCUCCUUUUUAUUAGGCCCCAGUCUCAUUCAACACCAGACCAACUUAGACUGUGCCCCAAAAAAACUUGUCAUCCCUACUAUCUUCUGUCUAGUCAUACUCCUAUUCACCAUUCUCAACUACUCAUACAUGCCCUGCUCUUGUUUACACUGCCGGUUUACACUGUUUCUCCAAGCCAUCACAGCUGAUAUCUCCUGGUGCUAUCCCCAAACUGCCACUCUAAACUCUUGAAGUAAAUAAAUAAUCUUUGCUGGCAAGGCUAGGCUGAACCUCCUUGGGCACUCUCUAAUCAGAUGUCCUAGGUCCUCCCAAUUCUUAGACCUUUUAUACCUGUUUUUCUCCUUCUCUUAUUCCAUUUAGUUUUUCAAUUCAUACAAAACCGUAUCCAGGCCAUCACCAAUCAUUCUAUACGACAAAUGUUUCUUCUAACAACCCCACAGUAUCACCCCUUACCGCAAGAUCUUUCUUCAGCUUAAUCUCUCCCACUCUAGGUUCCCACACCGCCCCUAAUCCCACUCAAAGCACCCCUGAGAAACAUCGCCCAUUCUCUCUCCAUACCACCUGCAAAAAUUUUCGCCGCCCCAACACUUCAACACUAUUUUGUUUUAUUUUUCUUAUUAAUAAAAGAAGGCAGGAAUGUCGGGCCUCUGAGCCCAAGCCAAGCCAUCGCAUCCCCUGUGACUUGCAUGUAUAUGCCCAGAUGGCCUGAAGUAACUGAAGAAUCACAAAAGAAGUAAAAAGGCCCUGCCCUGCCUUAACAGAUGACAUUCCACCAUUGUGAUUUGUUCCUGCCCCACCUUAGCUGAGUGAUUAACCCUGUGAAUUUCCUUCUCCUGGCUCAGAAGCUCCCCGACUGAGCACCUUGUGACCCCCGCCCCUGCCCACCAGAGAACAACCCCCUUUGACUGUAAUUUUCCAUUACCUUCCCAAAUCCUAUAAAAUGGCCCCACCCCAUGUCCCUUCGCUGACUCUCUUUUUGGACUCAGCCCGCCUGCACCCAGGUGAAAUAGACAGCCAUGUUGCUCACACAAAGCCUGUUUGCUGGUCUCUUCACACGGACUCGAGUGAAAAUACACACGCACACACACACAAAUGGACAUUUACCCCACUCCUGCUUUUGUGCUAUUGUGGUCAUGCAUAGUAUUUCUUUUUUGCUGUUGUUUUUCUUGUUGUUUUCACUGUCAUACAGGUAUUUAUGAUGGAAACAGAAUCAGAGUCUGACCUUCCUGACUUGAAGUACAAGGUUUUUGGGGUUUUUCAUUCGUGUUUUAUGUGUUUUUUAAAAAAUUAUUUGUGUUUUUAAUCGACAAAUAAAAACUGUAUACACAUAUGCUUCCUGAUUUAUAAUGGGGAUACAUCCCAAGAAACCUACUGUAAGUUGAAAAUAAUGUAAGUCAAACAUGCACUUAGUAAACCUAGCUUACCAAACAUCAUAGCUUAACCUAGCCUAGGUUAAACAUUCGUGGGACACUUACAUUAGUCUACAGUUAGGCAAAAUCAUCUAAUACAUAGCCUACUUUCUAAUAAAGUUAUUAGAAAGGAUUUUUAUUCAAAAAUCAAAAUAUGGUUUCUACUUAAUGUUUAUUGCUUUCACAUCAUCGUAAAGUGGAAAAAUAUAGGUCAAGCCAUCGUAAGUCAAGGAAUGUUGGUAUAUCGUAAUGGUGUACAUGAUAUUUUGAAAUAUGUAUACUUUAAUAGCUAUAGUGAGCUAAUUAACAUAUGAAUUGCCUCACAUUCUUAUCAUUUAUUUGUGGUGAGUAGAUAUAAAAUCUACUCUUUUAGCAAUUUUUAAGUAUGCAAUACACUAUUGGAAGGGUCUCUGGCUAAGUUAGUUUUCUUUCUGAACGGACAUUUCUCACUAACAAGUGCAGAAAUUCCCUGUGAACAGGGGAAGCGGUAAUGCUGACAACAAAACUCAGAUGUAAAUUUAGAAUAAAAAAGGGCUCAUGGUUGACUGCUUUGGGCUAUACUUCCAUAAUCUCUCAAAAAAAAAGUAAGGUAUUGUCCUCUGGAGUAUUUUGAUGGAAAAUUUUAGGAAGACUUGAUAAUCUGUAAAAGUUGUAGGCUUGAGAUCCUAAAAGAUCUGUAUCUAAAUUCAUGUAUUCUACAGAAGUUUACUUAAUUACUCCAGGUUUAUUUUUCCUUACUUGUGAGGUAAAUGUUGUAAUACACAUCUACCUCACAAAGGUGUUGUGAGAAUUCAAUGAUAUGUUAUUUAUAAAGAAAGUAUUGAUUACCUUCCUUCUGUCCCAGUGAUAGAUCACAACAAGAGAUCAUGAAGAGGGCAUGGCCGCCAUGUCAUUCUGGAGAGAGACAGAGUAAAACAAAGAAGGCAAUAACCAGACACGGGACUGAGGCCAUCCAUGACCAGCCAGCCCUAGCCAACACACAACACACAAGCUGAUCACAGAUGCAUGAGUAAGCCUGAGACCAGCCAAGACCAGCCUAGAAUAGAACUGCUCAGCAGCAAUAAAAACUAAAUAAAUUGUUACCUUAAGCUACUUUUAGAGCUAUUUGGAAGUGUAUUUUUGUGCAGCUAACAUUUACUAGCAGAUAAAAUGGUGAUUGUUUAUCUCUGUUUUAUUGAUGUUUUAAGGAAAUUGUUUCUAUUAAAAGGAAAUAUCUGGUCUUUGUCACGUUAAAUCAGGUUUAGCCUGAAGUUGUCUCCUUAAAUUUGCGGCACAACUCCCACCCUGCAAUACUUCAAAUUGUUUCACCUUUUUUGACAGAACCAAGGUAUAUCUUAAAUGUACUUGAUUGAUGUCUCAUGUCUCCCUAAAAUGUAUAAAACCAAACUGUGCUCUGACUACCUUGGGUACAUGUUCUGAGGGUCUCCUGAAGGCUGUGUCACAGGCCAUGGUCUUUCAUAUUUGGCUUAAAACAAAUCUCUUCAAAUAUUUUAUGUAGUUUGACUCUUUUCCUCAAUAGAACUCAUCAUUUAACCAGUUAAGUAUUUUGAGUUAGUUUGGGAUUAAACACGAGAGUUUUGACAGGGAGCUGAAACAAUAGUAGUUUCAUCAAAAGUUGAUUCUUGGUGCAUGUAAUUUUCUAUUACAGUGAACACAGAUAAUAAUGAUGCAUAUGUCUUUACCUAGAUUAGAGAAAGGAAGAGAAAAAAUAAAAAUUUUGGAAAUGAGAUAAAAAGAUAUUGAUCUCACUGAUGUUUCUGAAUCUAAGACUGAACUCAAUUAUUAGUUGUAUUUACUGCUUAUUAGAUUUACUAAGAAAGUUCUUUAAGGUACUUACAGCCCUAAAAUUAUUUGCAAUAUUCAAUAGCAAGGGACUUAAAUACAGUCCUGAUUACUCCAUCACAAAAUGCCAAAAACAAUUAGGAUCUUAAAGGAACUACCCAAAUAGGUUUAAGAUAUCACUCAGGCCAUAAAAAUGUUUUUAAAAUUCACAUCACAAAAUAGCCAAAUGACAUAUCAGAAACAAAAGCAAAAAAGUCAUCCUAAUUCAAGGCAAUUACUUUAGCAAUUCAAAAUAAAAUGUUAAAAGUGACCAAAAAACAAAUGCAAAAUAUUUUAAUGACUUUAAAUGGCUGUAUAAUUUCCUCAUCACUUCACUUGGCAGAGUUAAGAUGGCAUUUAACCUAAGUUCACAUCAUUAAAAAAAACACUGCACCAUGAUGCUUUUCUUAAUAUGCAUUCUCAAAUUAGCAUACAGAGAAAAAUGAAACUAUAGUAGAGACGUAAAUUUAAUCCCUAUUUAGGUCACUAGGCAUUUAUUAGCCCCACCACAGGUUAAUACACUUGCAUUUGCAUCUGUUUCUAAAUGCUAAUUAUCUGACCUCAGAACACUCACUUAUGGGCUUCAUUUAUUGAAAAACAAAUCCCUAUGAUUUGAUCGUAGAGUAACUUUUAAUGUCUAACUUUACGUAGUAUAUUACAGUUUUCAAAACAUUUUUAUAAAAAGUAUUUUGUUUAUUUACAGCAACUAUAUAUCAUAGAUAUUAAUGUGUAUAUUUUGCAUUUAAGCAAGUUGGAGUUCGUAAGGUUGAAUUACUUGAAAUGUACAAAUAGAUAGUAGUGAAUAUUUAAAGUACAUUUUUAAAAAUAUGACCCAGAAAAAUAGGUGGCAUUUAAGAAAUAUAAGCAUGGUAUCUAUCUUACAUGUAUAUUAGGAGUGGACAGUUUUCUAAGAUUAGAAGCAAACAGUUGUCAAGCAAGGGUUCUAAUUUUUGUAAGUCUUGUGGGAAAGAAAGAUAAUAGAGGGUUUCAUUGCAAAGAUAUAAAACUACUCUAGAUAAUUUAAGCAAAAACUAAUCUAAUAAAUUGGGUUUUCCAAAUUAUUGAAACACCUUGAGAACUAGUGCCUGGGUAGGCCUGGAGAAAUGACUCCAGGAACAGCAUUACAGAACUCACCUGCCCAGUGGUAACAGUGCCCAGAUUGCUCUUCUCCAUUAUCCAGCCAGAGUUCCAGAUCAGCCUGAAUACUUCACCUCUGGGAAGACUUUGCAGAACCUCCAGAUUUAUGCCACCUCUAUAACCUGUGUAAUAUUAUUACAAUGCAUAUUAUGUUCUAUUUCACUUACAGUCAGCCCUCCUUAUCUGUGGGUUCCACAAACAUGGAUUCAACCCACAGUAAAAUGAAAAUAUUUGGGGAAAAAAUUAAUGUUUGAGUCUGUAUUGAACACGUAGACUUUUUCUUGUCACUGUUCCCUAAACAAUACAGUAUAACAACUAUUUACAUAGUAUUUACAUUAUAUUGGGCAUUAUAAGUAAUUAAAGAUGAUUUAAGUAUAUGGAAAGAUGUAUAUAGGUUAUAUGCAAGUACUGUGCCAUUUUAUAUAAAGCACUUGAACAUCACAGAUUUUGGUAUCAAUGAGGGGUGCUGAAACCAAUUGCCCAUGGAUACCAAGAGACAGCUAUAUUUGUUUCAAUGUGUACCUCUCCUUCUAAACUCAGUUCUUAAGCAUAUAGUAUCUUUAUAGCUAUACACCUAGUGUCUAUCAGACCCUAAACUAUGGUAGGCCCUCAAUACAUUUUAUUGUUAUAGGUAGAUAGAUAGGCAUGAGUAGGGCAGGAGAGGGCUCUCCCUCCACCCACUAGAAAUGUCAAGUGAUGUUUUAAAAAUUGUCACACUGCCUCUCAGAAAAUGAUAAUUCAGCAACCGGGGAGAGACAAUCUUCUGAUGGUCCACACCUAUUAACAUUAAAGUGUUAUUAAAGGCAGACCCCAGAAAGAAGAAACUUACUGGGCAUGCACAUUAAGAGAUAAAAACGGCAAAAUAUUAUCUUCCACGUACCCACAACUGGAAAAAAGGAAGAAAGCUUCAGGUGGGCAUAUGUACUCUUCCUAAACACACUGCGCAUGCUCACUUCCCAACUGUAGAGAGGGCUCUGCACAUACGGGAAGAAUCUCGGGAAAGAGGUGAACCUAUAAAAGGCCAAGAAUCAUGGUUGAACGGGACAUUUGACCUUCUCUCUUAAACCUUCAUGUGCCUGCUUGGGUCUCUUCCAACUGCACCUUCCUUUCUUUCCUGUUCUAAGGCCUUUUUAAAUAAACUUCCACUCAUGCUCUG